rnacentral:rRNA from 1 species
UGGGGAAUUUUGGACAAUGGGCGAAAGCCUGAUCCAGCAAUGCCGCGUGUGUGAAGAAGGCCUUCGGGUUGUAAAGCACUUUUGUCCGGAAAGAAAUCCUUGGCUCUAAUACAGUCGGGGGAUGACGGUACCGGAAGAAUAAGCACCGGCUAACUACGUGCCAGCAGCCGCGGUAAUACGUAGGGUGCAAGCGUUAAUCGGAAUUACUGGGCGUAAAGCGUGCGCAGGCGGUUUGCUAAGACCGAUGUGAAAUCCCCGGGCUCAACCUGGGAACUGCAUUGGUGACUGGCAGGCUAGAGUAUGGCAGAGGGGGGUAGAAUUCCACGUGUAGCAGUGAAAUGCGUAGAGAUGUGGAGGAAUACCGAUGGCGAAGGCAGCCCCCUGGGCCAAUACUGACGCUCAUGCACGAAAGCGUGGGGAGCAAACAGGACUAGAUACCCUGGUAGUCCACGCCCUAAACGAUGUCAACUAGUUGUUGGGGAUUCAUUUCCUUAGUAACGUAGCUAACGCGUGAAGUUGACCGCCUGGGGAGUACGGUCGCAAGAUUAAAACUUAAAUGAAUUGAC